GUAUUGGCUAUGAUGCUUAAAAACUACCUAUUUUAUGAGAGAAGUUUUUUCCCUCUGAUUAAAGAAACCAAUGGAUCCUUCUGAGCUUAUG